GAAAUGCGAUAAUUAAUGUGAAUUGCAGAAUUCAGUGAAUCAUCGAGUCUUUGAACGCACAUUGCGCCCCCUGGUAUUCCGGGGGGCAUGCCUGUCCGAGCGUCGUUGCUGCCCUCAAGCACGGCUUGUGUGUUGGGCUUCCGUCCCUGGCAACGGGGACGGGCCCAAAAGGCAGUGGCGGCACCAUGUCUGGUCCUCGAGCGUAUGGGGCUUUGUCACCCGCUCCCGUAGGUCCAGCUGGCAGCUAGCCUCGCAACCAAUCUUUUUAACCAGGUUGACCUCGGAUCAGGUAGGGAUACCCGCUGAACUUAAGC
rnacentral:misc_RNA from 1 species